GACAGAGGUGCCGAGCGUUAGGCGGAAUUACUGGGCGUAAAGCGCACGCAGGCGGUUCGCCAAGUUUGGGGUGACAGUUGUCGGCUCAACCGACAAAGGACUUCAAAAACUGGUGAACUUGAGGACGAGAGAGGAACAUGGAACUCCAGGUGUAGUAGUGAAAUGCGUAGAUAUCUGGAAGAACACCAAUGGCGAAGGCAAUGUUCUGGCUCGUUUCUGACGCUCAGGUGCGAAAGCCAGGGGAGCGAACGGG
rnacentral:rRNA from 1 species